rnacentral:rRNA from 1 species
AGGACGAACGCUGGCGGCGUGCUUAACACAUGCAAGUCGAACGGUAAGGCCCCUUCGGGGGUACACGAGUGGCGAACGGGUGAGUAACACGUGAGCAACCUGCCCUUGACUUCGGAAUACCAGUUGGAAACAGCUGCUAAUACCGGAUAUGACUCCUGCCCUCAUGGGUGGGGGUGGAAAGCUCCGGCGGUCAGGGAUGGGCUCGCGGCCUAUCAGCUUGUUGGUGAGGUAAUGGCUCACCAAGGCUUCGACGGGUA